ensembl:ncRNA F52F12.18 ncRNA
ACCGGAAUCGAACCCAGGAACUCCUUGCUCGCCUGGAAUACCAUCUGGUCCUUCUUCAGCUAUAUCUCCUAUAUUUCCAGCUGGUCCUUCUGGUCCUUCAGGUCCAUCAUGUCCGUCUUCUCCAGUUUCACCUGUUACUCCAGGCAUUCCGACUUCUCCUGGAGGACCCGGUGGUCCUGCUGGUCCAGGAAUUCCAACUCCACGAGUUGCAUUGUUUCCUUGUUCUCCAUUCUCACCAGGUGCACCUGGGAAUCCAGGGAAUCCGAUGAAUCUUGAAAUUGAAAAUUAGAAUUCUGAGUUUGACUAGAUUCAUUUUGAGGAUUCAUUUAAAAAAUGUAUAUUGAAUAUUUUUAAAGUAUAAUACUCACCCUGGUUCCCCAUCAGUUCCAGAUUCUCCAUCUUCACCUGGUUUUCCAGGACUUCCAGGUUGUCCAUCUUCUCCUUUUUCUCCAACAGAACCAUUUUCUCCUGGUGGUCCAGGUUCUCCAGCAACACAUGGAAUACAUUCAACAGGACCAAUCAUUU